UACGGAGGGGGCUAGCGUUGUUCGGAAUUACUGGGCGGAAAGCGCACGUAGGCGGCUUUGCAAGUUAGAGGUGAAAGCCCGGGGCUCAACUCCGGAAUUGCCUUUAAAACUGCAUCGCUAGAAUUGUGGAGAGGUAAGUGGAAUUCCGAGUGUAGAGGUGAAAUUCGUAGGUAUUCGGAAGAACACCAGUGGCGAAGGCGACUUACUGGACACAUAUUGACGCUGAGGUGCGAAAGCGUGGGGAGCAAACAGG
rnacentral:rRNA from 1 species